UUUUGAAAAAGUGCUAAUGCAGGGAUACACUUUACUAUUGUUUAAUUCAAAACAAAAAUGUAUAGAAGUUAGAAACAGCAGAUUACCUUCAUGUUUGCUCUCGUGAGCAUGCCACAGCUGCUACUAGCCUCUCCAGUUGACAUUGUUGAUGUCCUGUACCAACUCCAAGUUCGAAAACAAAAAGAAAUGAAUUAGACUCUUGUAAAAUGAAUAUGGAGCAGCAAAUAUCAGUUAGCUGUAUGUCACCUUUCAAAUUUUGAAAGAUUGUUCUGAGCAGGAAGUUCCAACUUGCAUGUUUCCAUUUCCAUCUAGCAAGUAGCAACAUCCAACCAAAAUCAAAUAAACAAGUGUAAAACAGCCAAAAAACAGUGCUGCUUGGCUGGGCUGCUCCAUGCGAGAGGCCGAGGGUGAGGACGACAAGGGGUCCGCGAGGAAGGAGGAGCAGCUUGUCGUCGGCUAGCCACCGGCCUGCUGCCGCCACAAGAUGAGCAGUUGUUGGGUACGCAGCCUAGUGUUGCUGGUUUCCUCUUAACUGGGCUGGGCCAGAUCCAAGACGUGCUGACCAAGUGUAUCCUUGAAUUAUCAGAAUUGUUAUAAAUCGUUUAUUCACGGAUACUCUCUGGAUAUGUAUCCAAGAUGUAUCGGAGGCGUAUCCUAUCAUAUAUGGUAUCCGAUAAGGAUUCGCUGGUUCCCUGACUUAUCCGUGCAUUCGAGGCUGGAUUAUGCAGAUCCGUACUAAACCGAACAGGCCCUUGGUGGUUUCAGGAUGGCUUACGCCAAUGAAGUGAACAACAAUUAAUAUGGCGUGUUUGCGACUAGUCACCAGAUCAGACAGAACACAAAAUUCUUACUCAAUAAACCCAUAUUCCCGCAAUCUCCCUCACUCUAUCCGCCUUUCUCUUCAUCCAUUCCCCUCUUUCUAGAAAUUCACAUCACAUAGAAUCAAACCAAACAUUGCUGCUGCUGCUGCUGCAGUGUCGAUUAAUAGAGCAAUAUUGCAGGGCCUUAGUAAGGGACUUGUUACUAAUUUUCUGGAUGAUGGAUUAGCCAUCAUCCAGUAUGCAGGUGUUAUUAUUUUUAUGUUUGAAGAUGAUGUUGGAAGUGCUAGAAAUGUCAACUUCAUAUUAUGUGCUUUUGACAGGUCUUAAAAUUAACUUUCAUAAGUGACUCUGUUUUGGGUCUGUUGUAGAUAAAUAGGAUGCAUAUACUCAUAUUUUCACUUGUAAACAGUGAUUGGAAGGAUUCAUAAGACAGGAUGAAAAAAAGAUUACUAUCUGAAAAGGGGGUGUUGUGGGAGAAAUACCACCUAGUUCGAUGGGGGAUGUUUGCCAUCCCAAGGAACACAUGGGCUUGGGUAUUACUGAGCUUAAGCCCCAAAAUAUUAAUUAUCUUAUGUAAAUGGAAUUGGAAGUUUGAAAAUUAAGAGGGAGAAUGGCAGGAUUUGCUUAGGGCUAAAUACCAGAGCAAAGGUACUUUAACUCGAUGUUAUAGAUGUUAAGGAUUUCUUUUAUAUUGUAGUUGUUGUCAGAAAGUUGUAGGAGACGGGAGGAAGACUAGAUUCUGGGAAGACAAUUGGAUUCGGCACUACCCACUAUGCCAAGUUUCCCUUUUGCUUGUAAAAUAUAACUUUCAGUCAUAAUGUUAUGGUGCACACUUUUUUACUUGAGGAAGUGGAAGUUUGCAUUUUAGAAGGUUUCUCAAGGAAGAAACUGGCUGUGUGGCAGAAAUUCUGUAAUUGAAAGAUAUGUGUGCUCAGUGUACACUACUAGGGAAAAGCCUAGCAGUAGCGCUGGUUUUUGGCCUAUCAGUAGCGCGGGGAAGCGCGCUACUGAUAAGGCGCUACAGCUAAAGCUUAGCAGUAGCGCCUGCUGGCACGCGCUACUGCUAUAUCUACUUAGUAGUAGCGCUUUCCGAAACGAGCUCUACUGCUAAUUAGUAGUAGCGCUUUCGAGAACAAUCGCUACUACUAUUAUUCCUAGUUCCAUUUCUUUUUUAUUUUAGGUCGUAUUCAUACACCUGUAUACAAUUUUUCAUACAGUAGCAAUUUAGAGAUUGUUUUAACAUCAUAAUGAGUUAUUAAAUCACUAGGUGAAAGAACAUUGGAUUAGUUUCAAGUGCAUGGAUCCAAAGUAACCAAUAUAAUGGUCACUUUGGAUCCAUCCAUUUGAAACUAAUCCGCGGUUCGUUCACCCAAUGACAUAAUAACUUAUCAUCAUCAUCAUAAUAUCAUUAACAACUUAUCAUCAUAAUAUAUCAUUGUCAUAUAACUCCUCAUAAUCAUCAUUUUCGUCCAUGAUGAGACAUCAUAUAACAACUUCGUCACUAGUUAUAAUAACAACUCCUCAUCAUCAUCAUCAUAGUACUCAUAAUCACUACUCCUACUCAGCAUCACCAUCAAGUCUAGGACAUUGUAGUCAUAUAUAAUCAACACUAACUAAUUGUUCUUAAUACUUAGGACCUACUCCUCUCUCCUAGCUAAAAUACCAUAAAACAGAUAAACCGGUCCUUCACCAUAAUGGAGAAUGGACAUAAACCUAUCUCCAACUUGUGGCUUGCGCACAUUCAUUUUGUCUUCAAUUAUUUACGUGUGUGCAUUCAUCACUUUGCUCCAUUCUUUGAUUUUGAUUACUACCUAAAUCUGGUGAUUUUUCUGUAAAGUCUUGUUAUAAUUAUCUUGUUACCAGUAAGGUUAACUUUCCUUAUAGAAUGAUGUGGGUUCUCAAGCUUCCCUUAGAAAUAAGCUUCUUUGCUGGUUGGUGAUUAGGAAUCAAGUUCUGACCAAAGAAAAUAUGGACAAAAAGGAUGGAAGGACUCUGACCUGUGUUGAAGAAACCUGCGGAUUUCCCCUCCUAUGUUUUUGCUUAGGUUCNN
rnacentral:lncRNA from 1 species